CUUUAUUGUGCCAGUUAUACAAUACAGUCAUCUGCUUUCUUCUUCACUUCAUUUACUUUGUUUUCAAAUAAACGUUUUUAUGCUUGGUACACAAGAUCUUACUUGCCAGAUACACUAUGGUUUUCAUGUGUGUCACAAGCAUUGCCUCAAAGAGCUCACUGCCUGCUUUUCAAGGGGAUGCAGCUAAUGUGAGUUAGAGAGAGAAGACAAGACAAGACCUAAACUGAAAAGAUCAUUCAGCUUCUGCCUACAAGCAAGCACACAGAGAUUCAACCAGAAGUGAGAGUUUCAUUUGUACAGGCUCACAUACACUUGGCUUUGCGGAAAUGUGUUGCCUGUACUUCCUUCUCUGUGGCAAAGUUUGUAACUAAGAGAGACUGUGGAAAGCAUGGUUAUCUUAUAUCAGCAACUUCAAAACUGAAAGGAAACAAAAAACAACCUACAAGAACAGGUCUGCCAAUUUCAAGAACAAAAUUCUCAUUUGGUUUCAAUGGAUCCUUGUUUUCACUUCACUGUGAAAAGAAAGACUUCAAAGAACAUCACAUUAUUUGCAAACUUCAGCCUUUGGCAAUGUAACUGCAUUUUCCAUGGAAACAUAUCAAUAGCAUUGAAGAGCUUGACUUGAGAGUGAAUCAACAUACUACUGAGAGAAGACUUUCUCAGUCCAUGCAUUUAUUUCUGAACCAGCAAUAUGAGAAAAAUAACUACUUAGACUUGUAAUUAUAUGCUUAUAAACUUAUAACUUUAUAAGGAUAUAAAAUGUGCCUUAGCCCACCUUAACCAAUCAUUUCUUCUUAGCUUAAUGAAGACAUUAUGAAACACUUGUUUCACGUCCUGAAAUUUUCUAGUAUGUCAUGUUAAUUCAAGCCCUCCUCAGUUUCCCUGUUUACAAAAGAUAAUUUUUAUCAGCUUUGUGGGGUAUUGCUGCAAGUUCAAACCAUUGAGCAGUCAAAAACUGAGAGUCCUACAGAGUCAUCAGUCCUGCAGGAGGAAGCAAUACAGGCAGCUGAUGAGUUAUGCCCUGGUAAGUUCAUGAUUUUGAGGAAUAUGGGCCCAGCAAAGAGUAAAGUCAGGACCAUUAACUUUCAGGAAAGCAUAAUUUCAGUUGUUUGAAGAAUUAGUGGCUGAAAUCCCCAGGGAAAUUGUCCUUAGGGAUAAGGAAACUGAUUAGAGUUGGCAGCUCUUUAAAGACUCUUCUUAAAGAGCACAAGAGUACAUUAGCUAAAAAAAAGAAAGACUAAAGAGAGUGCACCCCUCUCUGAUAAACAAGGUGGGAGAACUGGUGACAACAGACAUGGAAAAGACUGAGGUUCUCAAAAAAAAAAAAAAAAAAAAAAAAAAAGUGCCUCAGUCUUCACUGGCAAUCACUCUUCCCAUGUCUCUCAAGUCCAUGAACCUCAAGACAGGGACUGAGGGAGUGAAGUCCCUGCCACUGACUGAAGAUAAGUUUUGAGACCCCUCGAGGAACCUGAACAUCCAUAAAUUUACGGGGCCUGAUGAAAUUUGUUCCAAUGUCCUGAGGGAACAUGCUGAUGUACUUGCCAAGCCUCUCUCCAUCAUAUUUGAAAAGACAGGGCAGACAGGUGAAGUCUCUGGAGGGUGGGAAAAGGGAAACAUGAUAUCUAUUUUUUAAAAGGGGAAAAAAGAAGACCCUGGGAACUACAGACUAAUCAGCCUCACUUCUGCCUGGGAAUAUCACAGAACAGAUCCUUAGAGAAACCAUGUUAAGGUAUAUAGAAGAUAAGGAGACAAUUUAAGACAGCUCACAUGGCUUCACCAAGGGCAAAUCAUGCCUGACCAAUCUUGUGGCGUUCUAUCAUUGAGUAACUGCAUGCAUCAACAAGAGAAGACCAACUGAUAUCAUCAAAGGCUCAAAGGCCUUUGACACAGUCCCACACAACAUCCUUCUCUGGAUACGGGAGUGGCUGGAUGGCUGCAGCCAGAGAGUUGCGGUCAACAGUUCCAUAUCCAGGUGGAAGCCGGUGAUGAGUGGUGUCCUUCAAAGGCCCAUCUGGGAACCAGUGAUGUUUAACAUCUUUAUUAAUGACAUAGAAGUGGGAUUGAGUGCACCCUCAACAAGUUUGCAGAUGACACCAAGCUGAAUGGCACCAGAAGGAAUGGAUGCCAUCCAGAGGGACCUAGACAAGCCUGAGAGGUGGGACCACAUGAAUCUCACAAAGUUUAAAUAGUCCAAGUGCAAUAUGCACAUGGGUCAGGGAAAUCCCAAAUAUCUCUGCAGACUGGAGAAGGCAAGAUUGAAAGCAGCCCAGCAGAGAAGGAAUUGGGGAUACUGGUGGACAAAAAAUUGGAUAUAAGGCAGCAGUGUGCACUUGUAGCCCAGAAGGCCAGCUGUAUCCUGGGCUGCAUCCACAGAGCAUGAUCCACAGGUCAAGGGAAGUGAUUCUCCCCCUGUAUUCCACUUUUGUGGGAUGAUCAGAGGGCUGGAGCACCUCUAUUUUGAAGACAGGCUUAGUGAGCUGGGGUUGUUCAGCCAAGAGAAGGCUCUGGGGAGACAUUACAGUUGGCUUCCAGUACUUUAAAAGUAUGCCUACAUGAAAGAUGAGGAGUGAUUCUUUAUCAGGAAGUGUAACAACAGAAAAAGGGGUAAUGGCUUUAAACUGAAAGAUGGUAGAUUUCAAUUUGACAUUGUGAAUAAAUUCUUUACUCAGAGCGUGGUGAAAUAGGUU
rnacentral:lncRNA from 1 species